rnacentral:rRNA from 1 species
UGGUGGAGUGAUUUGUCUGGUUAAUUCCGUUAACGAACGAGACCUCGACCUGCUAAAUAGUUGACUUAAUUCUUCGGGGUUUGGAUUGACUUCUUAGAGGGACUUUUGGUGAGUAGCCAAAGGAAGUUCGAGGCAAUAACA